CAGAAUGGUGAAACUGCACUUCACCUUGCUGUAUUAAACGGUACAACAGAAAUUGUUAAGAUGCUGAUCGACGCUGGUAUUGAUGUCAACUUACUUGAAAAGGAUGGUUCGACAGCACUACAUAGUGCUGCAAGAAGAGGAUAUACGGAUAUUGUCCAUUUGCUUAUUGAUAAUGGAAUUGAGAUCAACUUUCGGAACGAGGAUGGUUCGACUAUACUGUUUGAGGCUGUACGUAAAGGAAAUAGAGAUAUUGUCCACUGGCUUAUUGACAAGGGUAUUGAUAUUAAUGUACA